GCCCUUUUAGCUCAGUGGUCGAGUGCUGGCUUUGGAAGCCACAGGUCGGUGGCUCAAAUCCACCCCGGCGCA
rnacentral:tRNA from 2 species